UUCAAUAUUGCCUUCAAACGGCAAUGUGCACUUUUCUCUCAGUAAGACACUGUGAUCCAUUAGAAAUUGGACCGUCUACACGGUYAUUGGGCUAUCAAUGGGCCAGUAUGAAGUUCGUUGUGGUGCAAAUGGCAAGAUCUUUAACGGUCAUGUGUAUUGCCCAUCGAGCGUACUGUUACUCGUAAUAGCCGUCUGAUGGAUUUUAAAAGUCACAUCACUGAUGUCAUUUUGGCAUCACCCAUUACGAUGGGAGUGGAUGUGUGCUCGAUCAACAGUGGUUAAAUUUGCGAUACCUUUGGGACCCGUCUUGAAACACGGACCAAGGAGUCUAUCUAGUGUGCAAGUAAAUGGGUAUAUGAAACCUAUUUGCGUAAAAAACUUGACUUUUUUCAAUGGGAUUACGAGUGUUUCACUGAGUGAAAUCUCCUCCAUCCCGGGGUAUUUUCAUCAACAUAUGCAGCAAUGUAUAUGGAAAAUAUACCAUGAGCAUACUGGAUAUGACCCGAAAGAUGGUGAACUAUGCCUGAUCAGGUUGAAGUCAGGGGAAACCCUGAUGGAGGACCGUAGUUGUUCUGACGUGCAAAUCG
rnacentral:rRNA from 1 species